rnacentral:rRNA from 1 species
GAUGAACGCUGGCGGCGUGCCUAAUACAUGCAAGUCGAGCGAACGGACGAGAAGCUUGCUUCUCUGAUGUUAGCGGCGGACGGGUGAGUAACACGUGGAUAACCUACCUAUAAGACUGGGAUAACUUCGGGAAACCGGAGCUAAUACCGGAUAAUAUUUUGAACCGCAUGGUUCAAAAGUGAAAGACGGUCUUGCUGUCACUUAUAGAUGGAUCCGCGCUGCAUUAGCUAGUUGGUAAGGUAACGGCUUACCAAGGCAACGAUGCAUAGCCGACCUGAGAGGGUGAUCGGCCACACUGGAAUUGAGACACGGUCCAGACUCCUACGGGAGGCAGCAGUAGGGAAUCUUCCGCAAUGGGCGAAAGCCUGACGGAGCAACGCCGCGUGAGUGAUGAAGGUCUUCGGAUCAUAAAACUCUGUUAUUAGGGAAGAACAUAUGUGUAAGUAACUGUGCACAUCUUGACGGUACCUAAUCAGAAAGCCACGGCUAACUACGUG